rnacentral:lncRNA from 1 species
CUAACAUUAAAAUGAUACUACUAACAUAGAGGAAAACAUCAGAAGUAUUUAAGACCAAGAGUUCUAAUCCUGGUUGGUCAGUUUUCUCAUCUGUAAAAUGAAAAAAUUCAACAAGAUCAUUUAAAAACUCCAUAAAGUUUCCUAAUUCCCUGGGCUCACACUGACUGGAGAGGGGACAGCCAAUGAAGGCCACACGGGCUAGAAACCAGUCUCCUAACUCCGGGAUCCAGUGCCUGGGCUGCAGACCCACCUCUGCAUCACCCCUUUGGCAUCGACCAUAAUGGUAAGAAUCCCCCAAAAAGUUUGCACACAUGGUAGAUCUUCCCCCAGGACCAAUGUCUGGCGUUGAGAACACUAAUCAUUACAUCUUACGAUGUAUAGAGACCCUUUGCAGAACAACCUUCCAUGAAAAAGAAAGCCUUGCAGCAUAUCUGGGCCAGUUCAGUCAGGGAGGGACAGGUCCACGACUGCACUCAGUCUCCUGACUCCUGUCUGUGGGACCUUCUGCCAUCACUCACCUUCUAAGUCCAAUUCGUCUCUCUUAGGACAAAAAUCUUCAGUUUCAGCAUCUCUAGGCCAGGGCCCAAGCGCCUCACCGCCACUUUCGCGGGAGUCCAGCACUCUUGACUUCACGCAGGCCCGCAUGCGGGGCAGGCGAGGAAGAUUAGCCCUGAACUAACAACUGCCACCAAUCCUCCUCUUUUUCCUGAGGAAGACUGGCCCUGAGCUAACAUCCAUGCCCAUCUUCCUCCACCUUAUAUGAGGGACACCUGCCACAGCAUGGCUUGACAAGUGGUGUGCAUGUCCGCACCUGGGAUCCAAACCGGCGAACCACAGGCCACCGAAGCAGAACAUGCAAACUUAACUGCUGUGCAACCAGGCCAGCCCCCAACCUUUCCACUGAUAGCCCAAGGCUUACCUGCUAGGAACGCCAGUGAAAAGACAGCACCACUUUCCAGUGACUCAGCAAAAAUUCUGGGCUGACAUCCUUCGGAAUAACAUGAGUCACAUGGUCACCAUUGAACUCAUUACUAUGGCCAGCACAAUGGAAUAUUCUAGCCUGAGUAACUGACCCACCGCUAGAGUCUGGAUGGGAGGAUGGUGAGCCUCUGUGGACUCUAUGGACUGAAAAUUGGGUAGAGGUGUUUCUUUACACAGAAAAUGUUAAUACAGGAAACAGAUGCUGGCAGGUAAAAACAACCCGUCUUCACUAGAGAACUAAUAUUAAUAAGUUAAGGAAACUGAGAUGUUUCAGACUGGACUUUGAGCUGAAUGCAGUAUCUGGAUUGGACUUUGCGUUCUUUCUCUUGGGGAAGAAGUAACUCUAUUCCAUGUGUGGGACAGAGGGAAGAACUGUGGUAGAGAAUGCUAGAUUUCUACAACCCAUUCUCCCUUCUUUCAUAUAUCCAGCUUUCCUACAUCCCCGAGCCUCCCUUGCAAUUAAAUGUGGUCCUAUAAUGAAGUUCUCCUCAAAGGAAUAUAAGCAGAAAGUUUGUAUGCAACUUGUGGCUCUAGCCUGUAAGCCUCCUGUGUACAUCCUUCCACAGCCAGAGUGACCUUCAAAACCAUAUGUUAAAGAUGACAGUGUCAGUCUGAGCCCCUGAAUGACUGUAUUUGAAUAGAACCUACCUUCUUCUUUCAACCUGGAAUGACUGUCCUGAACUAUUUAGAGAACAAAACAAACUUCUAUGUUAUUUGGGCCAUCACAUGUUGGGCCUACUUAUUUUGGCAGUUUGGCCUCCUCUAAGGCAUUUGGUACAGGGAAGUUCUUCCUAUUAUGACACAAAACCUGGAAGUCAUAAAGGACAAGACUGACAGAUUUCACUACACUACAAAAAUGUAAAACUUCUGUAUGGGAACAAUAAGAUAAAGUUAAAGUAGACAUGAAGAAAAUGUCUGCACAAUAUAUAGUAGGUAAGAGAUUAAUAUCCAUUCUAAAAAGAGAG